GCAGACCCUCUCACGGGCCCCUGGGCGCAGCGAGCUCGGAGCCAGGCUCUGGGCGGCAGCGGGACCCGGCCAUGCCCAGUGACACACUUGAACUCUCAUCCAUGCUUCUGUGAUAUCCCUCACUAUUCAUAGUGUCACAACUUGACAGUUUGGACAAGUGCAUCCCUGACCUAGAGGCAUCUAACUUCAAAUCCAUUAGUCUCUUUGAGCUUUGGUCAGGGAAUUAUGUAACUCCUCUCAUUCCUUCUUCAUUAAAACAUACCUCCCCCGAACAUGCUGAAGGACUUGGCUAAGCUCUCAGACAUUUCUGUUGUAUAAAGGAGUCCUCAAAGUUUCACCCAAUUUAUCUGCUAUGGAUAAGCUGCUUUCUUCAGUGUCUGUCCUUCUGGAUUGUGAUUUAAUCAUUCAAGAUGCUAAGAGCACCUAGCACAAGGGGGUCCGAAGCUUUUCUGGCU